CCACUCUUCCCUAAUCGCUGUUCAUUCUCCGGUGCGCUGUCCCGCCAUGGUCUGACCCCACUUCAAUCUUACCUUCGAACUUCAGAUUGAAAAGCAUGUACUUGAGUAGCUGUAUUUAAGGAAUUACACCCAAGAAGUCUCAUCUUCCCUGGACUUACGUAGAGGAUAAGAUUCUGAACUUUGAAUUGAUGCUAUAAUGGGAUAAGACUUUGGGGCCUUAGAAGGGGAGAACAAAGGCCAUGAAGGUGUUAAAGGGAAGCAAGCGAUCGACAGCAUUGGUUGGUGACAAACCUGUGGCUGGUCUGUGUAUGAUGGGAUGGAUUCCUCCUGCUCCCAGAAGGCACUGUACUUUCAGUGUUCAGGGCAGCCUUGCCUUAGUGCCUCAAACCUAUCCCUACAUCCUGCAGUAAACUUGGAAAGGUAACACCUCUAACCAUCAGGCCUUCCUCUGAAGCACAGUCAAGUUGCUCUUGGCAACCAUCUCAAUUUUAAUAGUGCAGAUGCCAUGUGCUGUAAAGUCCUAAAAUUUAAAUUCUUUAUUUCUUGACAUCAUUGCCUCAAAAAAA
rnacentral:lncRNA from 1 species